rnacentral:rRNA from 1 species
GGACUACCCGGGUAUCUAAUCCCGUUCGCUCCCCUAGCUUUCGCGCCUCAGCGUCAGUUUCUGUCCAGGUAGCCGCCUUCGCCGCAGGUGUUCCUCCCAAUAUCUACGCAUUUCACCGCUACACUGGGAAUUCCACUACCCCCUCCAGAACUCAAGCACAGCAGUUUCAGAUGCAAUUCCCGAGUUAAGCCCGGGGCUUUCACACCUGACUUGCCUUGCCGCCUACGCGCCCUUUACGCCCAGUAAUUCCGAACAACGCUUGCCACCUCCGUAUUACCGCGGCGGCUGGCAC